rnacentral:lncRNA from 1 species
UUGCUGGCAAUUCUAUGUUGCUCGGACUCUUCAAAAAUAGCUCCAGGUGAGUGUCGGAUACUCCAAAAAUACUACUGUAUGUGCGGAGGAUUCGAUACAGAUUUGACAGUUAUUUUAAAGCGUCCAAGCAACAGCAGCCGCGAUAGGUUCUCCACCCUUUUCUGCUCUUUUGACAGUAAUUUUAAAGCGUCCAAGCAACAGCAGCCGCGAUAGGUUCACCACCCUUUCUGCUCUUUUGACACGCCCCUUCUACACUCGCACAUUGUCCAUUCGAAUCCUCCCAGCAUAUUCAAAAACAGGUUCUGCAGUAGUGAGACAACACGGCAGUGCAAGAACCAAUGGUGAUGGUUCCGGGAU